ensembl:processed_transcript Gm17066 predicted gene 17066
AAAAUGAAACAGACCAUUCCAGAUGGUGAUCUGCCUACCCCCUAUCAAAAAGAGCUAUAAUCACUAAAUAAUAAUGGUUACUGGUACCUUUACAAUAAUGUGCAAUCCAAUGUUUAAAAUUUAUACCACUUCAGUUUGGCUUGAUCAUAUAAAUUUUCAACAGAUGUCUUAAAAUUUAAAAGCAGGCUGAUUAGUUUGGAACCAGACUUCAAGUAGCGCUAACAUUUGGUGAAUAAGACAACUUCAUAUUACAUUUUGGAUGUAUGAAAGAAAACUUGACCAUUUGAAGAUGUAUGAAUAAAGAAAUGUACUAUAGAUACUACUUUAGGAAAACCCUGUUUGUAGUCGUGAAAGAUGCCAAAUUGGCAGAGGCUCACGUUUCUUCUCUUUACACCAAACAGAGAGAGAACAUCACUGCCUGAAUUUAGCUUUGUGACUACAUGAGCAAGCCUUCUUUGUCCUGUCUGGAGACGACUGUUAAUAAUAGCAUCUUGUCAUUUGGUUUGCUCUCUAUCAAUCUGAAUAGAUGUUUACAUGGACCGUGAUGACCAUUUUAUCUUUACAGUUCUGUACAAGUCCAUCUGAGUCCAGACGUGUAUCAAAUGUGUGAGGUUUAUGACCUUAUUUAGAAAUGUUUUCUUCCCUUCAUAGCAAUUUAAUUUGUAAAACACCUUUAAGGAACAAGGCCUUUUAGUUUCCUUAUGAGAUGUAUUAUGUCUCAGGCAAACUGAGAGAUAUGUUUGGGAAAUCUAUAAAGCCAUGAGAGCAUUAAUUGAACAAUUUAGAAUGAAGAAA